GCCGCCUUGGCUAAGUGGUACAGCGUUGCACUUGUACGUUUCGACGGACAUGCAAAGACCAGUCGUUCGAAUCGGCUAGGCGGCA